rnacentral:rRNA from 1 species
UCCUAUGGCCAUGUCACCCUGAACAAGCCUGAUCUCAUCUUAUCUCAGAAGCUAAGCAGAGUCGGGCCUGGUUAGUACUUGGAUGGGAGACCACCUAGGAAGACCAGGUGCUGUAGGUG